UAUUCUCAAAGUUAUCCCCCCAUACGUUUCCUCCUGAAAUCUUUACCACAAUUACGAACCAUCUAGGUUAUAAAAGUCAAAAUUCACUUACCAAUUUUGUUCGAACAAUCGAAUUACCCCUUCAUUUUUUACUUUCUCGUUUUUAUAUUUAUCUUGCAAGAACAAUCAAACAAUGGUGCGAACGGUAAAGAAGGAAUUGAUGGACAAUCGAGCACCAGAAUGCAGAAUGCUACAGUCGAAAUAUCUCACCUUUAAGAAUCAGAUUAGCAGUAAUUUGAUUUCACAUCAUUUUAGUAAUUUCUUUGGUUUUUUUUUCCAUAUUCUUUUUUUUUCAUAUUUGUUUAGUUUGAUUAAUUUGUAUUUAGCGAAGAGAUUAAUGAAAGCGCUUAUUGCAAAAAUCUCUAUAUUUCGUUCUGUUUUGUCUUCAUAUAUUGUAAAAAAUUGUGUGUUUUAAUCUUUAAUUUAAUUUUCUUCCAAAAUGGGUGCUUUUGGGAAGUGGAUAAAAUCACUCGUUGGUCUGAAAAAAUGGGGAUCAAAUGACUCUAUAAGCUAAUAAUCUUUCUAUUAUCUUUAUAUGAUUUUUUUUUUUUUUGAUGUUUUAAGCAAUGAUUUUUAUAUUGAAUUGUGUUGAGCCUAAUAAUCUUUGUAUUAUCUUUAUAUGAUUUUUUUGGUGUUUAAUUAAUGAUUUUUAUAUUGAACUAUGUUGAGCUUAAUUCAUAUCUAAUGAUGUGUUUGGUUGGGCUUAAUAGUUGUUGUUGACUUCUUGUUGCCUUUUUGGUUUAAUGAUUGUUAUUGUUGUGUCGUCCACAAGUUGCUCGCCGAAAAUGCCUGCUCGAUUUGUGCUAGACUGAUAGGGUUCGUCUUGAAACAAGUACGAGCCGCCCACGGGUCGAGUCCCAAUGGUCGAGCUGAUGAUAUCACUGUUUAGCCCGUGCUUCCAAAUUCUUGGAUCUGCCCGUGGACGGAAGAAGUAGGUAUUGAUAUCAGAAACAACAGAGCUGAAUUAGACGUUUUAUUUUCAGAAUUAUAGGUGGCAAAAACAGAGGUGGUUUCCAAUUUCGUUUUACAAGUUAGUUGUCUCAUUUUUAUUUACUUAUGGCAAGAAUAUUGCAAUUCAUUUCUCCUUUCUCUGAACUUUGCUGGUAUAUCUUAGAUCUUUGUCUGAUUAGAAGUUCGCAUUUCCUCGUGUUGAAUAUUAUUGUAUUUGGUUCAAUCUUUGAUGGUUUUCAAUAAGACACUUUGCUUCGGAUGAAUGCUUUCAUAAUUUUAGUGUAUUUUUAGCUGAAGGAACAUUAAUUUACGAAUGGUACAUUAAUUUUCUGUACAGAAUGCAAAAGAACUUGUAUGUAUUAGAUCAAUUUAGAAACUUGAAACCAUGAACAAAGAUUCAUAUCAGUGAUUCCGCUCGUAAGUCGGAAAUUUCUCCUAAUUUCAAGGGAUCUUACAGAUUGAUCAGUAAUUGGUCAAUCUAGAUAGUGGCUGCACGAAAUAAGACUGUUACUUAACCAAGUCAGAAGAUCUUUUUAUCUUUAUGAAUACGAUCACUUAAUAUUUCUUAGUUAUGACACCUGUCUUUGAUGCUUUUACAGGAGUACGAACAUGCUUACUCAUGUUCUUGAAUUGAGGCCGUUGACAUGUCGAAUGAUUUUCUUCUAACGAGAAGGCAGGUGAUUGUUAAAGAAUUAGCGUGUGAAUUAUCAAGACUGCACAGCACAAAAUCUGGCCUGUGGAGCAUGAGAUUUAGCCGAUCUUCCCCCACCACCAAG
rnacentral:lncRNA from 1 species